rnacentral:rRNA from 1 species
UACGUAGGGGGCGAGCGUUGUCCGGAAUUAUUGGGCGUAAAGAGCGUGUAGGCGGUUCGGUAAGUCUGCCGUGAAAACCUGGGGCUCAACCCCGGGCGUGCGGUGGAUACUGCCGGGCUAGAGGGUGGUAGAGGCGAGUGGAAUUCCCGGUGUAGCGGUGAAAUGCGCAGAUAUCGGGAGGAACACCUAUGGCGAAGGCAGCUCGCUGGGACGUUACUGACGCUGAGACGCGAAAGCGUGGGGAGCAAACAGG